GAUUAACGCUGGCGGCGUGCCUAACACAUGCAAGUCGAACGAGGUAGCAAUACCUAGUGGCAGACGGGUGAGUAACGCGUGGUCAACCUACCGUUGAGUGGGGGAGUAACUAGCCGAAAGGUUAAGCUAAUACCGCAUACGUCUCCGAGGGGCGAUCCCUUGGCGAUAAAAGGAAGCAAUCCGCUCGAUGACGGGACCGCGUCCCAUUAGCUAGAUGGUGGGGUAACGGCCUACCAUGGCACCGAUGGGUAGCUGGUUUGAGAGAGCGACCAGCCACACUGGGACUGAGAAACGGCCCAGACUCCUACGGGAGGCAGCAGUGAGGAAUUUUCCGCAAUGGGCGCAAGCCUGACGGAGCGACGCCGCGUGUGGGAAG
rnacentral:rRNA from 1 species